ensembl:lncRNA
CAGAACCCAGUGCAGGAGUCAUACCACACAGUGAUGCAGCUGGUCGUUCGUGGCUCAAGAGUUGGCAGCUCGCCUUGUGAUCAGAAGAUUGCCGGUUCGCGCCCCGGCUCGGACGCUCUUCGUCGUUGUGUCCGUGGUCAGGACUCUUCACCUACCGCCUACUAGUGAUGGCCAAAGGGGCAGAUGUGGCAGCCUCGCCUCUGUCAGUCUGUCCCAGGGCAUGCAAUCAAUUACUGUUCAAACCAACGGUUAACUGUAUAUUUACGUAUUAUGAUUCAUAUUUC